UCCCAAAUGCUGACGGAUGAAGGAUGAAGCUCACGGGCUUCAUCACUUCUCAGCCUCCUCCCUCGUCUGCUGCUGGGACGGGGCCGCACCAGUUUCUCCCAACACACACAGAUACCGUCCCCAUCUGGCCUCCUCUUCCUCCCAGUGCUGUUCCGUGACACUUUGAAAAGUUCCCGAUACUUCCCCCUCUGUCAUCUCACUGCAUCCCUCUGUUCCCCUCACUCCUGCAUAUCCAGCUCAGCCUCCUGGGGCAGGACCUUUCUAUCCCACUGAUUUAUACAUAAAACUAUAUUUACGUGCCAUGUACAAACAUAUAUAUAAUUACAGACUAAAGAUAUGCACAGAUACACACGUGCACAAGCAGCCCCUGACAAAAGGCAGCUGCAGCUGGCUCCUGGCAAUGCCGGGGACAGGAAAAACACAGGAAUGACGAAAUGAAGCUCGGAGACACUCCGAGCAGAGCUGGCAAUCCAGCCGGGGUGACACAGGGGCAAGGAGGGCGCCCAGCCCCCAGAUCCCUCCCCGACAGCAGCCGGAUGCAGGAACGCCCAAGCUCAGCUCGAUUUCCUCACCCAGGCUGAGCUGGGAGGGAAAUCCUGCCUUCGGGAAAGGGAAAAAUCCCGGCCCAGCCCAAGCCCCAGGGUGCGGGAGGGAGGAGAUGGCUCUUGCCUUCUGUCCCGAGGCCGGGCUGAGCCCGUGCGGGCGGAGAGACGCCGCUCCAGGCAAGGACGGAAGUUGCCCAACCGAGAAAGAAGGAAGGAAAUAACUUUUUUUCCCCCGUCUCCUUAAAAAGAAAUAGUUGGAAAAAUGAUCCUGGGCACGCAGGUGUUUGUCCAGCUGAGCUGAGUGCCCGCGGAGGGAGCGCGGCACUCCCUGUGCCGGGGGAGGAGGAACUGAAAGGGGAAAACCGAGUCGGAUGAGCUGUGAACCCAAAGCCGCUGGCAGAGAGCCGGGUUAACAGCACACCCCGCUGACCUCCCGUGCCCCCAGCCAUGCUCUGACCCUUUCCCGUUUCCAGGGAGGACAGGAAUUCCAUCUGGACUUUGGCUUUGGCAUGAUUUUCCCAGCCCCUUCCAGCUGGUCCCGUCCUGGUGGGUCAGGGAUCCAGGGCUGGAGCUGCAGCCAAGUGUCACUGGCUGCUCUGAGCAGCCUCCGGUGCUCACCGGGAUCCAGCACUUGGCAUAACACAUCUGUCCUGUGCUGAAAAUCCAUGGAAAAGCCCUCUGGAGCCUGGCUGGGUCAGUCCUGCAGCUGCCAAUGCCCCAGGGAUCCAGGGCUGGGAUCCCAAGCUUGAGCAGUAACACUUGCUCCCAGCUCUACUCCUUUGCUAUUCCAGGGUCUAAUCCCAGCUGGGCCCCAGCAGGAUUCAUCUCCCCUUUGGCUGGUUCCUCACAACCAGCAUAGGCUGAGUCCAUGGCAAGGGCAGGAAUAUCCAUUCCCUGGGCAUCCACAGGGCUUCUGGGGCUCAGGAAUCCCCUUCCAGCAGCCACCAGCACUCAGGGACAAGCAGUUCCUUCCCCAGCUGAUCCCAGUGGCACGCACCCCACUUCCUUCCCCUUAUCAGAGGAAUUUGGAAACAGCCCUUUCCAGUGAGCCCUUUCUCACAGAAUGGUGCUUUGAGUGUUUCAAAGUUUAUAAAAGCCCACAGAAAAGGAGGUACAAGAAGAGAGUUCUGCUCCAAAGGAAGAGUUUUGCUCUAAGGGAAAAGGCUCCUCCAAGAGGAGGUCUCUGCUCCCCAGCAGGGCAUCUCAGUGUCCCCCUGUGCUGGCUGGGGACAGGUUUUGGUCUCAGAGUCCUGGGUAGUGCUAAGGGGAAAAAAUCCCAAAACAAUUAAGGGUAGAAAAAUUAAGCAGAGAUCAACUUGGGCAAACCUGUCUGUGUCAGGCUGUCCCUCCCUGUGCCCUGGAGCAGUGCCAAGGAGUGGCAGGGGGUGGUGGCAGCAGUGACAGUGACAAGCUGGGCAGCUGCAGAGCGAGGAGGAGCAGCGGGAUCGCCCUGAGAGCACCAUGAGGGGUUUCCAGAGGGGCUCCCAGCUCCUGACAGCCGCACUCCGGAUGAGCCGGGUCCCCCGAGCACAGCUCCGCUCCCACCCCCCGGAGCACCCCAUCUCUCCUGGUGAACAAGCUGUGGCCUUCAGCCUGAUGUUCUCGUCCUUCCUGGUGCCCACAGCCUGGGUCCUGAGCAACAUCUACAACUACAGGAGCAGGCCUGAGUGAGGAGAGGCAGGAGCAGCCUGAUCCCUGCUGAGAGCAUCCCCAGGAAAGAGGCCUUGGGACAGAGCCUUGCAGAGAUGGAACCCCCCGAAACUGCUCAUUAAAAUCCACCUUUGCAUCCAACAAGGGCUCACUGGGUUUGCUCCAUCCUGUAGGGAAGGAACCAGAGCUGUGCCCACUGCCCUGAUGGCAGCACUCCCUCAAGGGCUGCCAGCAGGUCCCCAUGGGAAGGCACAUUCCCUCUGGAGCCUCUAACACCCGCAGCACUGUGUGCACCCAGUCACCUUUCCCAGCAAAAACAAGGAAGCCAUUCCAAGGUAAAUUCCUAGCAGGAAAACACCAAAAGGCUGGAAUUGACAUUAAAAGGGUGCCAGGGGCUGGGGCUGCAUGCCUGCCCACUCCCUGCCCUGCAGGAGGGGCCUCUCCACCCACCACAUCCCAAAUUACCUGUGCCAGGGAAGCAGCCAGCACAUGGAAGGUUUGGGCAGCGAGGAGCACUUCCAGGUGUCUUGGAAAAGCCUCUGGAGCUGUGUUGGUUCCACAGAUCUGACUCUCAUUCCCAGGAGCUGCUCAGAGCUUCACAGCCAGGAGAGUGCUCUCACAGCAUGGGAGCUGUUGGAAUGCUCCUGGGAGAAGCUGGUACUGCUUCCCACAGUGACAUUCUGGGUUUUGGAUGUUGAUCUCAAGCAACAGCAGCCCCAUAAUUCAAUGACUCCAGUGGAGUUUCCUUUAUUCCCUAAAGUGUAGUGAUAGCCCUGGGAAUGAGAGUGAGAUCUGACAUGGCACUGGGAAGGAGACUGUGCUCCUUAAAGCCUCCUCCUGUCCUCAGCUAUGAAAUAAAGGGAAUAUUGUCCUGAUUGCAACACCUACUUCUUCCACAUGCUCUCCUGAAGUCAGUAAAAGUGGCACCAGGAGUAAGCCUUGGAAGACAGGAAGCAGCAGGAAUUGGGCAAAUCAAACCAAGUGGCUGCUCAGGGAAGAGGCAGGCACUGGGCACCGAACAACCCCAUCCAGGGGGGAAUUUCAGCUAGAAGGGCCUGGAGAGCAGCAGGAGGAAGGUGAGCAGGGACAGACUCCAGCAAUUCCAUUUUCUCCUGUUUUCCAAAGUUUGUCUCCCUUGUGUGAGGCAUCUCUGCACCAUGCUCCCUUCUUUCUCUUACUGGAUUUACACCCUCAGCCAAGGCAGGAAAAGCACAGAAAUUCCAGCAGUGCCAUUUGCUAAUGACACCAGAGAACCAAACUGGUGAGGAAAGCUCCUGAAUUCCAGGAGUGGCAAGGCCUGACCACGGAAACCUGUUUUUAAAGGAAUCAUCAGCAGCUGAGCUGCCAGGGAUGGAGAUGACACAGAAUUCCCAAAAAGGGAAGGCAGAGACGUUUAUUCUGGCAAUGCCGCUGCACCUCACCUGAGCACAAAGCGUUGGUGAAAGACACCCACCCCUCUUGUGUAUGGACACACCCACUAACCAGGAAUCCCGGGAAAACCCUUGGAUGAGCAAACACUCCCUCUGCUGCAGAUGAGGAGGGGUGGAGGGAAGCAGGGCCAGGGGAGGAAGAGGAUUUGGGGAAGAUUUGGGGAAUGCUGCCUCAGGCUGCUGCAGGGGCAGGGGGAGAGGGCAGCAGGACAGGCUGUGUCCCCUAAGGCCAAGACCCCUUGGAUCCUGCACUAGGAUCCCACCCUCCUGCAGCAGCUGGAGGCAGGAGGGAUCAGGAGUGAUCCAUGCCCCCUGAGCCACUCCUGCCAGCAGAGGGAAAGCUUGGCUCGAGCACCAAAGGGUCACACAGCAAAAGGCCACGUCCUGCUCACUGCAUCCCAGGCUGCUCCUGCUCUGCCCACCCACCCCUCCAAGGAUUCAGUACAGUCAGUGCUCUGAGUGCUGCUGGCCUCAGGAG